GACGAACGCUGGCGGCGUGCUUAACACAUGCAAGUCGAACGAAGAGCGAUGGAAGCUUGCUUCUAUCAAUCUUAGUGGCGAACGGGUGAGUAACGCGUAAUCAACCUGCCCUUCAGAGGGGGACAACAGUUGGAAACGACUGCUAAUACCGCAUACGAUCUAACCUCGGCAUCGAGGAUAGAUGAAAGGUGGCCUCUACAUGUAAGCUAUCACUGAAGGAGGGGAUUGCGUCUGAUUAGCUAGUUGGAGGGGUAACGGCCCACCAAGGCGAUGAUCAGUAGCCGGUCGGAGGGGAUGAACGGCCACAUUGGGACUGAGACCCGCCCCAGACCCCUACGGGAGGCAGCAGUGGGGAAUCUUCCGAAAUGGACGAAAGUCUGACGGAGCAACGCCGCGUGAGGGAUGACGGCCUUCGGGUUGUAAAGCUCGGUUAAUCGGGACGAAAGGCCUUCUUGCGAAUAGUUAGAAGGAUUGACGGUACCGGAAUAGAAAGCCACGGCUAACUACGUG
rnacentral:rRNA from 1 species